rnacentral:rRNA from 1 species
GAUGAACGCUAGCUACAGGCUUAACACAUGCAAGUCGAGGGGUAACGAGAGGAAAGCUUGCUUUCCUUGUCGACGACCGGCGCACGGGUGAGUAACGCGUAUCCAACCUGCCCCCAACUAGGGAAUAACCUUGCGAAAGUAAGACUAAUACCCUAUAAUUUCCUCAGAUGUCAUCUGACGAGGAAUAAAGAUUUAUCGGUUGUGGAUGGGGAUGCGUCUGAUUAGCUUGUUGGCGGGGUAACGGCCCACCAAGGCAACGAUCAGUAGGGGUUCUGAGAGGAAGGGCCCCCACAUUGGAACUGGGACACGGUCCAAACGCCUACGGGAGGCAGCAGUGAGGAAUAUUGGUCAAUGGGCGGAAGCCUGAACCAGCCAAGUAGCGUGCAGGAUGACGGCCCUAUGGGUUGUAAACUGCUUUUAUACAGGAAUAAAGUUAGCCACGUGUGGUUAUUUGUAGGUACUGUAUGAAUAAGGACCGGCUAAUUCCGUGCCAGCCGCCGCCGUAA